CCUACGGGUGGCUGCAGUGGGGAAUAUUGGACAAUGGGGGGAACCCUGAUCCAGCCAUGCCGCGUGUGUGAAGAAGGCCCUCGGGUUGUAAAGCACUUUCAGUGAGGAAGAACGCCUGGUGGUUAAUACCCAUCAGGAAAGACAUCACUCACAGAAGAAGCACCGGCUAACUCCGUGCCAGCAGCCGCGGUAAUACGGAGGGUGCGAGCGUUAAUCGGAAUUACUGGGCGUAAAGCGCGCGUAGGUGGCUUGAUAAGCCGGUUGUGAAAGCCCCGGGCUCAACCUGGGAACAGCAUCCGGAACUGUCAAGCUAGAGUGCAGGAGAGGAAGGUAGAAUUCCCGGUGUAGCGGUGAAAUGCGUAGAGAUCGGGAGGAAUACCAGUGGCGAAGGCGGCCUUCUGGACUGACACUGACACUGAGGUGCGAAAGCGUGGGUAGCAAACAGGAUUAGAUACCCGAGUAGUC
rnacentral:rRNA from 1 species